AUACGGAGGGUGCAAGCGUUAAUCGGAAUUACUGGGCGUAAAGCGUACGUAGGCGGUUCGUUAAGUUAGAUGUGAAAGCCCCGGGCUUAACCUGGGAACUGCAUUUAAAACUGGCGAACUAGAGUUGAGUAGAGGGGAGUGGAAUUUCAGGUGUAGCGGUGAAAUGCGUAGAGAUCUGAAGGAACACCAGUGGCGAAGGCGGCUCCCUGGACUCAAACUGACGCUGAGGUACGAAAGCGUGGGGAGCAAACGGGAUUAGAUACCCUAGUAGUCC
rnacentral:rRNA from 1 species